UGGGGAAUUUUGGACAAUGGGCGAAAGCCUGAUCCAGCAAUGCCGCGUGUGUGAAGAAGGCCUUCGGGUUGUAAAGCACUUUUGUCCGGAAAGAAAUCCUUGGCUCUAAUACAGUCGGGGGAUGACGGUACCGGAAGAAUAAGCACCGGCUAACUACGUGCCAGCAGCCGCGGUAAUACGUAGGGUGCAAGCGUUAAUCGGAAUUACUGGGCGUAAAGCGUGCGCAGGCGGUUUGCUAAGACUGAUGUGAAAUCCCCGGGCUCAACCUGGGAACUGCAUUGGUGACUGGCAGGCUAGAGUAUGGCAGAGGGGGGUAGAAUUCCACGUGUAGCAGUGAAAUGCGUAGAGAUGUGGAGGAAUACCGAUGGCGAAGGCAGCCCCCUGGGCCAAUACUGACGCUCAUGCACGAAAGCGUGGGGAGCAAACAGGAUUAGAUACCCUGGUAGUCCACGCCCUAAACGAUGUCAACUAGUUGUUGGGGAUUCAUUUCCUUAGUAACGUAGCUAACGCGUGAAGUUGACCGCCUGGGGAGUACGGUCGCAAGAUUAAAACUCAAAUGAAUUGAC
rnacentral:rRNA from 1 species